CGGCGAACUCCGGUCAGCUGACACAUCCCGGCCAAUCUCCAGCAGACCCUCCCUCCCAGACCCUCCUACUUCCUGGACAGCAUCCAUGGAGGGGUCUGGGAGGGAGGGUCUGCUGGAGAUUGGCCGGGAUGUGUCAGCUGACCGG